rnacentral:rRNA from 1 species
UACGAGGGGGGCAAAUGUUGUUCGGAAUCACUGGGCGUAAAGGGAGCGUAGGCGGGUUCUUAAGUAAGGUGUUUAAUCCCGGGGCCCAACCCCGGACCGGCAUUUUAAACUGGGAAUCUUGAAUAGUGGAGAGGUCGGUGGAAUUGGAGGUGUAGCGGUGAAAUGCGCAGAUAUCAGGAGGAACACCCAUUGCGAAGGCAGCUCGCUGGGACGUUACUGACGCUGAGACGCGAAAGCGUGGGGAGCAAACAGG